rnacentral:rRNA from 1 species
AAUGAACGUUGGCGGCGUGGAUUAGGCAUGCAAGUCGAGCGAGAACCGUAGCAAUACGGGGACAGCGGCGAAAGGGAGAGUAAUGCGUGGAUACCUACCCUCAGGUUUGGGAUAGCUACGGGAAACUGUAGGUAAUACCGAAUAAUAUCUCCGGAUCAAAGGUGUGAUUCCGCCGGAGGAAGGGUCCGCGUCCUAUUAGCUUGUUGGCGAGGUAACGGCUCACCAAGGCAAAGAUGGGUAUGGGGUGUGAGAGCAUGACCCCACUCACUGGGACUGAGACACUGCCCAGACACCUACGGGAGGCAG